CUUCCUGAUCAUCGUUCUUGUCGAUCCGAAAAUCAAAAUACCAGCGUGAUAUUGCCUCGAAUAUGAAGCAGUUAUGUAAUUUGAUUCGUACUUCGCAUUCGAGUCGAAGCUUGGGUGGCACAGGUUAUUUCUUACGGUGAAAUCGACGAGGGGAACUCGAACACCAGUUGUAGUGUUUGAAUUGUUGGAAGAAAUGGUCGCAUGGGAAUGUAGGAAUGAUCUACCUGCUUGAUUUAUAUCGGCUACGCUUCAUGUUUACAAGUCCCUCAAAAUGGCAGCCAAACUUGGAGAUUGCCGAAAAUUAGGAAAGUGUUUGGAGGUCGAAAUGUGAAGUGUUUUCUGGGAUAGCUGAGCUGCAAUUUUCUUUUUGACACCAAUUCUCAAAUAUCUUCUUUCAGAUUUGAAUGAUUAAUAAAGUUGAAAUCAAAAUUAAGUAAUCAUCAUAGGUCAAUGUAGGAAAAAUUUGGGCCUUGACAACUGUGAAGCGAACUUUACGCACUCUCUGCAAGCAACGAAUAAUAAAAGCAGGGAUUUGGUUCGUUUCCUUUCAUAACUCCUCAUAAUCAAUCGAAAGUUUAAAGACAUGUAAAACCGACGAACAAUUGAGGUUGAAAACGCUCUUCUUUAUUCAUCUCAUGUUUUUGUACAAGAGAGACUCACACUGAUACUGACAAACCCAGUAAUCCUCAAACCUCGAGGACUCUUGCCACGGCAUGUUCUUCCAGUUGAAACUUCAAACCUUCCUUAUCAAGGUUGGUUUUUACAAGGCGAAGAUCCACAAAAUGGCUCGGUGGCAUCUCGUGUAUCACUUUCUUGGCCCUGGAGGAAAAAAAAAUCAAGAGUGCUCCGUGAUUUCUCGCUGAAAUAGGAAGUAUAGAUAUUGAGUCACCUACUCCGACGCCCUGGUAACCACAAAGAUGAAGACAGUUUCCAAACAGCGCGCUUGAGUUGUAAUUAUGAUCGUAAGCGAUCAGAAUAAUUUCAGAGAAAUGUCUACAAAUGGACAUUUAUCCAGCUUUGCAGUUUUGUAAUCCGAUGCUGUUGAAAAGUUAUGAUCACAAAAUUCGGAAAUUUAAGCGAAUUUGACAAAUGAAGAAACGUGCAAACCUCGGAGGUGACUCUAAACUGUCGGGUGCACUGCUUCUGAAUAUAUGAGUUAUGUUCGCCGCUUCUUAGUACGUAAUUUCAUAACAAUGUACUGAAUUUAUACUGCAAAGUUACAUAACAGUUGGUGCCUUUUUGGGGACUCGGGAGGGAAACCCAUUAAGAUCAAGUCAGAUACAAGUCUGUACACAGCAGUCGA